AAAUUUCUUACAAAGAAAUGAGUUAAAAAGCUAUUAAUCCUUUUUUUCUUUAUUGUUAAAGUUGUUACUAUAUGACCAGGAGGUCACUGGUUCGAGAUGUGGAAAAAGUCUUUUGCAGAAAUGCAGGACAGUAGACCCUUGUGGUUCUGCCCUUCCACAAACCCUACACAGUGUGAGCUUAGCGCACCAACUUUCCUUUUUGUUAAUUCUUUGUGAAAGAAAGGAUUACUGAUGUAUAGUCAGAAGAUAACCAUAAAAAAGAAAUCUUUAGAAAGUAGAACCGCUUAAGUUCUUAGUAGAUGGCUACAUAAUUUAUUAUGUUUUCUUAACAGCAGAAAACAAAUGUGACAGAUGUUUGUAUGGAUGAAAGUGUUGUGUCCAGUGAUCCCAUCAUUGCUUUCUUUCUUGACGAAGUGGUGGUCAAAGAUUGGUAAAAGAGAACGUUCAACAAUAUUUUAACUGAGACUCAAGUGAUAUAUAAUCUAACCAUGAGUAAACUGAAAGAAAACUUGAGUUUAUUUCUCAAGUUCUCUGUGAAGUUAGGUGAUAUCUCUAACGUUAUUGAUGUCUUGUAAUCAUCAUUCAAAGAUUCUCUCUCCGCAAAGCUUCAUGAUUUACACCACCUUCAAGAGUGCAUCUUAAAGACAAAAUAGGUAAACUUCCCUGAGAUUCUUGUCAAGUGGACCUUAGCCACCUUUUCUUCAUUUAUUAAUUUACCAGUUUUAUUUAUUGGUUUGCUUUUUGAAGAAACACAUAUAUAUGAGCACAGAAAGCAGGUAGAUUUAUUAUUUCUUUGUGCUACUUGCAUUAAUUAAAGAUCUUGGUUGGUGUGAUGAGCUAGUGAUUAUCUAUCACCACAUGCAUGUUGAUUGAAAAACUUCAGUUCCAACGUGUGUUUCUGUAUUUAUAUGUCAGAAAGAUCUGAUUUUCUAACUUAUCAAUUUUUGUUUUGCUUUGUUUUGUAUCUUACCGUCCUAACAACUUCUUGAUAGCAUUUUAUGAGAUUAUAAUUACUGUGCCAAUCUACAACACAUGGAGAUAAUGAUUUAGUGCAUAAGACAUGAGUUCUUGGAGAAUGUGAAGUCUAGGCAUAAAAAUUUUGAAUCUUGGCGAGCUCUGAUCCGUGAAAGGAAAUCUGCUGCAAUUAAACGUGCAUGGCCCGAUUCAAGCAGGGAGACUUGGAUGAUCAUGAAAAAGAGAUGGCACUUGCCUAUUUACAGAAGGAUGGGGGCUCUUUAUAUUCACGUUCAAAAAUACAGGAAAUGGCUGGAUGCUAUCCAUUUGAAAGUUUGCGAGCUACAGCUGACAUUCUCUUUUUACGAGGAAGUUCAGACUUUGUGGUUGCAAAACAAGCAAUUAUGAUGAAGGAGUACCAGCUCUGAAGGUAAGGAUGGAAACCUGCUGAGAGUACUGUGUUGUAGGCCGAGUCAUCUUAUAAUAUUGUCCUAUAUAUUUUUGUUAAUCUCAGAUUUGCACUCUAACGAGUUGUAACAUGUGCCACAAUUUAUGUGAUGAAA